AUUGAACGCUGGCGGCAUGCCUUACACAUGCAAGUCGAACGGCAGCACGGGUGCUUGCACCUGGUGGCGAGUGGCGAACGGGUGAGUAAUACAUCGGAACAUGUCCUGUAGUGGGGGAUAGCCCGGCGAAAGCCGGAUUAAUACCGCAUACGAUCUACGGAUGAAAGCGGGGGACCUUCGGGCCUCGCGCUAUAGGGUUGGCCGAUGGCUGAUUAGCUAGUUGGUGGGGUAAAGGCCUACCAAGGCGACGAUCAGUAGCUGGUCUGAGAGGAAGACCAGCCACACUGGGACUGAGACACGGCCCAGACUCCUACGGGAGGCAGCAGUGGGGAAUUUUGGACAAUGGGCGAAAGCCUGAUCCAGCAAUGCCGCGUGUGUGAAGAAGGCCUUCGGGUUGUAAAGCACUUUUGUCCGGAAAGAAAUCCUUGGCCCUAAUACGGUCGGGGGAUGACGGUACCGGAAGAAUAAGCACCGGCUAACUACGUG
rnacentral:rRNA from 1 species